rnacentral:rRNA from 1 species
GUGCCAGCCGCCGCGGUAAUACAGAGGGUGCAAGCGUUAAUCGGAAUUACUGGGCGUAAAGAGCACGUAGGUGGUUGUUUAAGUUGGAUGUGAAAUCCCCGGGCUUAACCUGGGAGGGUCAUUCAAAACUGGGCGACUAGAGUACGGUAGAGGGAAGUGGAAUUUCCGGUGUAGCGGUGAAAUGCAUAGAUAUCGGAAGGAACAUCAGUGGCGAAGGCGACUUCCUGGACUGAUACUGACACUGAGGUGCGAAAGCGUGGGGAGCAAACAGGAUUAGAAACCCGCGUAGUCC